AUUGAACGCUGGCGGCAGGCUUAACACAUGCAAGUCGAACGGUAACAUAAAGAAGCUUGCUUCUUUGAUGACGAGUGGCGGACGGGUGAGUAAUGCUUGGGAAUCUAGCUUAUGGAGGGGGAUAACUACGGGAAACUGUAGCUAAUACCGCGUAGAAUCGAGAGAUGAAAGUGUGGGACCUUCGGGCCACAUGCCAUAGGAUGAGCCCAAGUGGGAUUAGGUAGUUGGUGAGGUAAAGGCUCACCAAGCCGACGAUCUCUAGCUGGUCUGAGAGGAUGACCAGCCACACUGGGACUGAGACACGGCCCAGACUCCUACGGGAGGCAGCAGUGGGGAAUAUUGCGCAAUGGGGGCAACCCUGACGCAGCCAUGCCGCGUGAAUGAAGAAGGCCUUCGGGUUGUAAAGUUCUUUCGGUAGCGAGGAAGGCAUUUAGUUUAAUAGACUAGGUGAUUGACGUUAACUACAGAAGAAGCACCGGCUAACUCCGUGCCAGCAGCCGCGGUAAUACGGAGGGUGCGAGCGUUAAUCGGAAUAACUGGGCGUAAAGGGCACGCAGGCGGUGACUUGAGUGAGGUGUGAAAGCCCCGGGCUUAACCUGGGAAUUGCAUUUCAUACUGGGUCGCUAGAGUACUUUAGGGAGGGGUAGAAUUCCACGUGUAGCGGUGAAAUGCGUAGAGAUGUGGAGGAAUACCGAAGGCGAAGGCAGCCCCUUGGGAAUGUACUGACGCUCAUGUGCGAAAGCGUGGGGAGCAAACAGG
rnacentral:rRNA from 1 species